GAUGAAGAACGUAGCGAAAUGCGAUACGUAGUGUGAAUUGCAGAAUUCAGUGAAUCAUCGAAUCUUUGAACGCACAUUGCGCCCUUUGGUAUUCCAAAGGGCAUGCCUGUUCGAGCGUCAUUUGUACCCUCAAGCUUUGCUUGGUGUUGGGCGUCUUGUCUCCAGUCCGCUGGAGACUCGCCUUAAAGUCAUUGGCAGCCGGCCUACUGGUUUCGGAGCGCAGCACAAGUCGCACUCUUUUCCAGCCAAGGUCAGCGUCCAACAAGCCUUUUUUCAACUUUUGACCUCGGAUCAGGUAGGGAUACCCGCUGAACUUAAGCAUAUCAAUAAGCAGAGGA
rnacentral:misc_RNA from 1 species